rnacentral:lncRNA from 1 species
GAGAUCUGUGAAAACAUAAGCUUUGAAGACAUGAAAAUAACUCUUCAAUACCAAGUCUGGUUCUGAGGUAUGAAAAUUAAAAUAAAUUCAAAGGAACAAUGAUUCAUACACAUUUGGAUGUAUCCUUAAUAAGAAAAGUAUGGUUUAUUAGUACCAUUUUUCACCAAAGGUGACUUUUCAAAGACAGUGACAUUUCUUUGUUGUGGUUGACCACACUCACACUGAGGGAGUAUAAAAGUCUGCUUGCAUGUGGUGCUAUUCAUUCUCAAAAAACUCACCUUCAGUCUACAACAAAUCCUUAACCCCUGACACGAUGAGCCACUACUAUGGCAACCACUAUGGUGGUUAUGGCUAUGGCUACUUCUGUUUCUCUCCCUGUGGAGGAUAUGGCUACCUUGAAUUUUAAUGAAAACAGAAUAUUACUCUUAGUCACUCAUCACUUUUGUGUAUAUUUUUCUUUAUGUACUGACUCUCAAUUCUUUUGUUUAAUUCAAUAUCAUGUUAUGUUUUUGGAAUGAGUAUGAAAAAAAUUGCAAUGUGAUCUACACACUUUGAAUCAGGGGAUACUUAUUUUUAAAGGAAUUAUUUACUUAUUUAUUUGAAAGGUAGAGUGAAAGAAAGUGGUUUGCUGUGCAGUUAUCUCCUGGAUACUGGUUCACUCCCCACAUAGCCAAAUCCAGGAGCCAGGAACACCAUCCAGGUCUUCCUACCUGAGUAGCAAGGGCCCAAGUACUUCUGGUUCCUUCUGAGGUGCAUUGGCAGGAAGUUGGAUCAAAUGUGGAAUAUCUAGGAGAUGAACCAGCACUCUGAUAAAAGAUGCCAGCACCAGAGGCAGUGGCUUAAUCCACUGAGCCAUGUUUUUGAAGAUAUUGAAAUCCCAAGUCCUAUGUUUUUGAACGAGAAUUUCAUUGCUCAUUCCUGAGACAUAACUGACAUGUAGCCUCUUUAUUUUUAUAUUCUGUGAUAAUUCUGCACAGAAUCUGUACUAAAUAUUCACAAACAAAAACCCUGGGUUCUUUUCCUUUUAUUCAUUUCAACACAAUUGACUUUCAAGUUUCUGUAAUGUGCAAUUUUCCUUUCUACGGAAAGAUUAACUUUACACUGCGUUCCCUUAUACACGAUACUCUCUGACACGUUAGGAUUGUAAAUCCUUCAGGUGAUAGGAAUUUUUCUCAGUUCAGGCUUCGAUUAAUUUGAAACCCAGCAGAACUACAUAAUUUCAGAAAUGCAUACCACCUGUACUUUUUUCAGGGUCAUUAUGCAUUCUUAACAAUUUUCAGCCCUGUAGGAGAAUGGGAGUCUUUCUUUGUGCCAAUGCACCUUGUGGAAUUGAGAUGAAUAGAGAAGAAGAGGGAGGUAGAGAGAGAAAGAGAGAAAGAGGACUGCUCUGACUUUAAUAUCCUUUGAUGGCAUGUGUCUUUCAAGAAGCCAAAGACAUAAUCACAUAUUAAUAUGUGUCUCUUCUAAUUUAAAUAAUCUAAAUUAUAAUCCAGUGCCUCUUCAAAUUUAAAUGAUUCU